GUUAAAGGUUUUUAUUUGACUUCUCAAUAACUGCAACUGUAUACAAAUAAAAUUUCAAGAAAAAAUAAUAUCUUCACAUAAUAUCGUAACAUUUCUAUAAUUACAUUCAUGUAUCUGUCUGCAAGGAGACUGAUUAGGAAACAUCUUGGCUUUAUUAAUCUAUUAAGCUUAAACCAAUUAAAAUUCAAUUGCUUCCCCUUUACAACCAACACCCUAAAAUGAACCACUUUUUAAGAUGCUAUUUCUUUGAAGAUUUAAAGAAAUUUCAAGAUAUUCUUUUUUCCUUUUCAUUUUUAUCAAAAUUUUACACUUAGGCUAUAGUUUAUUUUACACUUACAUAUGUAGGGCAUAGUUUGAAAUGCAAAAUAGUACGAUAGACACAAAAAGGGUCAAUUUUAUCAUCAUACUUCUUCAAAACAUAUCAAUAACAAUUUAUACAUUUGUACAGGACUUAAAAAGAUCUUAUGAUGAAAACACUACAACUAAGCAGUUCAGAUAAAUGAAUAAUAAUGUACAAAGGUAUAGUCGGAAUAAUAUCACAGGCACCUGAAGUAUGGAUAUUACUACCCCCCCUCCCCCUUUUGAUAAUUGUAUUUUAUUAUACUGAUAGAAGAUCAAUCCCUAAAGCUUACAAAAAGCGUGAAAUUAUUACAUGGAUCGAAAGAGGAAUGAGACAGAUCAGGAAUUCACACAUUUCAGAGAAAUUAUUGCCACCAAAAAAAAAAUUAUCAAAAGGGGGGGGGGGGGGGUUAGUAAUAUCCAUACUUCAGGUGCCUGUGACAAUAUCCUUGACUGGAGAUAAUCAACAUUUUCUUUAUGCCAGAUUUUCUUUUUUUUUUUAACAAAUCCUUAAACCUGAUACUAUAACAAUAUUUACAAAACUGUACAAGUAUAUCAAUUAAAUUCCAUUAUGAUACAUAUUCAUUAAAAACGUCAAAUUGGACAAUUUUCACACUGUUUAAAGUACACUUCCAAAUGCACUUGACAAAUUUAUACAUUAUGAAAAUUAGCAAUCAACGUCAAUGUGUAGAAAUAUUACGAUAUUUCAAUCCUUCAACAAAUUCAGCAUCAAAAAUAUUAUAUUUCUUACAUGUAGCUGCUAAUGCUUUGAAAAACAUAUUUAAAAAAGUCAAAUGAAGCAGAUGAUAUUACUUAUUGGAAUGUACAUAUAACUGAAAGUUAAACAUACACAUUCUAAUCUGACCCACAACAUAUUAACAAUUUUUCAUAGAACAACAACAUAGAAAAUACAUUGUAUAUUUAUACAUAGAAAAAAAACCUACUAAACAAUAAACAUUAAUUGACUUUGUUAACACAGUUAUGUACACCACAGUAAAGCCCAGAUUAUCAUUAUCUUCUUAAAUGCCUUUCUAUAAUGUUAGAGCAUAGUUUCAACUAUAUCACAAUAACAAUUUACAAUCAGCUACAAUAUCCAAGAAAGAUGAGCACAAAAACUGAGAAACCAUACACUGUAUGUUGAAAUAUUGCACAUAUCAAGCACCAUGUCAAUCUCCAUAGUUCAUGUUCUGCGACAAUUUUUAAAAUUCAAUACAAAGAAAACUGUGUGUGAAGUAAACACAAAUACCCCCAAAUGUGGCCUUGUGAGAGCUCUUUUAACCUACAUGUACAUUCUCACCAGGGUAAGGGUCACUGCACUAAAAAACCACCCCACCCCAAACAAUAAUCAAUAUCUAUCAUGUAUUUUAAGUGAUUGAGUUCAUGCACUUUGACUUCUUGACCUCAGGGGAAAUAUUUCAUUACACAAAUCCAUGAUAUUCAAGUCCAAACCUUCUCAAUUUAUUGCUGGGGAACCAGAUAUCUCAUUUAUUUAAUGAUAGAGUCAAAGUCCUUUGAUCCCAAAACUCCAAGUCAAGAUUUUCAUUAGACCUACUUGUAUUUAUGAAGUCUCUAUCUCCUACAGUUGAACAGUUAUAGUCAUGGUUAAAGUUGCAGACAAACAGUUCAAAAACAAUAUACUCCAUAUCUUUGAUCUUAAAAGGAUACAAGCAAGAUGUUUUUGUGACACACUAUGGCCCUAACCUGGGCAAAGUUCAAUUCUGACUUGAUGUAUAAUUUUGAUCUUUAUCAGUAACAUGGCUUUGACUAUAACCUUUAAGUUCAGCAAGUACAAAGUUUCAAUCUGGUAUGUUUCAAACAUUAGGAUCAAAGUUAAAUUUACAGACAAAGUGACAGACAAACCAAAACAAUUUGUGAUUCAAUCUUCAGCGAGGGGGGGAGGGGGGGGGGGGGAGAUAAAACAAUUUCUUAUACAUGUUUUAAUUUUGUGAUGAG